UGGGUAAUCUACCCUCGGUUUCGGGAUAGCCCGGGGAAACCCGGAUUAAUACCGAAUGGCCUCUCGAGCUCUUGGGCUCGUGAGAAAAGGUAGCUUCGGCCUCUGACCGAGGAUGAGCCCGCGGCCGAUUAGCUAGUUGGUGGGGUAAUGGCCCACCAAGGCGACGAUCGGUAGCUGGUCUGAGAGGACGAUCAGCCACACUGGGACUGAGACACGGCCCAGACUCCUACGGGAG
rnacentral:rRNA from 1 species